AUUUUGUCUUAACAUAAGACUGAAUUAGAUCAGCCAUUGCAGGUCAAGAGGAACGCAUGGAGAAUUGGCCAGGGUGAAUGCCACCUCCGGAAGAUGAGCCAAGAAAAGGAACAAGCGCUUUCCAAAGUCAGCUUCCAGGGAGGAGCGGAAGGAAGAAUUCACCCGGUGAAUUUCCGAGGAUCUUCCGAUGGCCCCUCCUGCAGAGAACCGGGCUGAAUGGCUGGAGCAGGAGAUGGAAAUCAGCAGUUCCGACCACCUCAUUUGACAGAAGAGAGAGAAAAGGACUGUGGCUCCAGGAGGUAUCUAAUUAAUAACCUGGGGAUGUCUGUGUUAGAGCUGAGAGCCACAUAUCAUAGAAAUGGGAGAAUCAAGAUGCAUUGUUCUAAAGCAGUGGUUUCUUAUAUUCUGCACUUCAAUGAGCUACACCCUGGAGUCUGUGGAAGCAA